rnacentral:lncRNA from 1 species
UUAUAUCUCAGAUUGAUGGUUUGUCAUCUGAGGAUCCAGCUAUCGUUAAGCCUUGCGUGGUUGCUUUGCAGACUGUGACCAGUUCCAUGUACAGCUGUUUGGGCAAUGAAAAACAGGUUAACGAUUUCUUCUUAUGUUUUAUUCAUUCCACUAUUUUUUUUUGUCAUUACUUAUUACUCAUUUUAGUCUAUGUGGAUCCAGCUACCAACUGCUUAGGCACUUUUUACACUUAAAUGGCGAACAUAUAUAGCAAGUUAUAUCAUACAAUCUACAAAACUUUAUAAAAUACUUUUAAUGUCAUUAAAAUCCAAAGUUCAAAUUCUUUAAAAAAAUUAAACACCAAAUAAGGCCAUGAUAUUUUAUAAAAAAAGUAAUCAUAUGGGUGGGCCAGCUUCUGAAGUUGACAGUAGUUGAUGAUUUGAUGGAGUUAGAACAAGGACGGUGAGUGCAAGAGAAGAAGAGGAAGCCGUUGUUCACCUUUUUCUCUGUCUGGAUACUUUUAAUGUGGAAAUCGUUGCCCUUCUUUUUCUCAUAUUCUCACAAUAAUUUCAAUUUAUUUUUUUCUAAUGAAAUUUCCUUGUACACUUUUUUUGCAGGAUGAGAUUUUUGCCAAUCUUGUUUGCCUUUUUCAAAAUCAUAACAGCAAUAUACAACUUGCAGCUAAAGAAGCUAUACUGCAAAUAAAUGUGUGUUUCUUCUCCGAAUUUUUUUGUUAUAUGCAUUUUUUUACUCGGUUGGUUUUCCUUUUUUUUGCAACUUACAUGUGAUUAUUUGUCAAUGCCAUUUACCAGGUCAGUUAUUUAUCUUUUGUCAAACUUUUCGAGGGAAUCCUUUCUAAUAUUCACGAAGUUGUUUUUUCUGCAAAGAAAAGAAAAAAAUCACAUGUUUUCUCUUUGGAAAGAUUGAUCCGAGAGCAGAAUACGCCAAUUUGUUUUCUCAAGGCAUUGCUUGAUAUAUUGUUUUUAAAGAAAGAUAUACAAAACAGGUUUUUAAAGAAAGAUAUUUAGCAUUUGUCUUCAUAUGUUUACACAAUUAUAAUUUUCGGUAUUGAUUGGGUUUUUCUGAUUUGCAUUUUUCCAUUUGAUAGAAAAUCCAUGAUUGGACCACUUUUUAAGCUUCUUAAGGAACUCUUCUCUAGCAAGAUCUCUCAACUUUUUGAGGAAACAAUUGAAGCUAAAUCAUUGAAAUUUGAUACAUCCAACAGUGCAUUAGUGGAUGCACAGCAAAUGACAAUUACAAUACUAGAAAACAUCAGCAAUUCAUUAUCGCCCGAUGUAUCUGUAAGAAUUGAAAUUAACUGUUUCUUUUCUUUUUCAUACUAACUCUCAUUUAAAUAUUUUUAUGUUUUUUAAACAUACAUGUAUGUGUUGUUUGUGUUUUAGGUUGAUAUGUUUAACAAAGAAAAUGUUAAUCUGCUUAUUAAUUGUGCUCGGUCUACUGAGAAUACAGUGACACACAAUCAUAUUUUCUUGCUUUUGGGCGCCAUUACAAAAAUUUCUUCUGAAUGUGUCUCUGAAUACAUGCCAGAUCUGUUGGCUAUUAUUGGAUUAUCUGCUACAAAACAGGUUAUUUUCUUGUUUAUUUUUCCUAAUAAACCUUUUUUAUAUAUAGUUACAAGUUUACAACUCUUAUUUAUAAUUUUUUUUAAAUCUAAAACAUUGUAAACACCACCAACCUUUAUAUUCUGAUAAUCUGAUUAUGAAAAUAAAAAAUAUGCAACUCACUUUUUGUGGAGUCGUGGGACUUACAUGAUGAUAUGUUUAUGCCUCUAAUCAAUAUUCAAAAUGACAGAAUGACAGACAUUCCCAACGUGUAUUAGAAGAUUUGAUAUCGAUGCUUGUUCCAUGCUGGAUAUCAAGAACUGAUGGCGCAAAAGAUCUUCUUAUGGUACUAUCUUUUCUUUUAU